UGGGGAAUAUUGGACAAUGGGCGCAAGCCUGAUCCAGCCAUGCCGCGUGAGUGAUGAAGGCCCUAGGGUUGUAAAGCUCUUUCACCGGUGAAGAUAAUGACGGUAACCGGAGAAGAAGCCCCGGCUAACUUCGUGCCAGCAGCCGCGGUAAUACGAAGGGGGCUAGCGUUGUUCGGAUUUACUGGGCGUAAAGCGCACGUAGGCGGACUUUUAAGUCAGGGGUGAAAUCCCGGGGCUCAACCCCGGAACUGCCUUUGAUACUGGAAGUCUUGAGUAUGGUAGAGGUGAGUGGAAUUCCGAGUGUAGAGGUGAAAUUCGUAGAUAUUCGGAGGAACCCCGGUGGCGAAGGCGGCUCACUGGACCAUUACUGACGCUGAGGUGCGAAAGCGUGGGGAGCAAACAGG
rnacentral:rRNA from 1 species